UUGCAGUUAAAAAGCUCGUAGUUGGAUUUCUGCGGGGGCGGGGCGGCCGACAACAACUCGUCGUUCGAGCUAGCACUUCCCCUGCAUCCUGCCGCGAACCGUGCUACCAUUAGUUUGGUGGCGCUGGGGAUCGGCUCGUUUACUUUGAGAAAAAUAGAGUGUUCAAAGCAGGCCACACGCCUUGAAUAAGUUAGCAUGGAAUAAUGAUAAAGGACUUCGGCUCUAUUUUGUUGGUGUUCGGGACUGAAGUAAUGAUUGAUAGGGACAGUUGGGGCGGUCCGUAUUCCAAAGCGAGAGGUGAAAUUCUUAGACCUUCGGAAGACGAACAGCUGCGAAAGCGUUCCGCAAGGAUGUUCCCUUUGAUCAAGAACGAAAGUUGGGGGAUCGAAGACGAUCAGAUACCGUCGUAGUCUCAACUAUAAACUAUACCAGCUAGGGAUCGGCCAACGUUUACUUACACCGACUUGGUCGGCACCUAAUGAGAAAUCAAAGCAUCUGGGUUCCGGGAGGAGUAUGGUCGCAAAGCUGAAACUUAAAGGAAUUGACGGAAGGGCA
rnacentral:rRNA from 1 species